rnacentral:lncRNA from 1 species
GUUGAUAUCCUCUGAUUUUCUAAUACUGUCACAUAAUGGUACGAUAUCAUUUGUUGCAAUUCAUAAUCAUUUCAUCAAUAAUUCAAAUUUAGUAAACCACAUUUAGUCACGAUAUCAACUCAUGCAUUUAACACCCCAAAUAUUUCAUCAAUUGCAUAAUAUUGUAUCUGCGGGACAUAAUAUAAUAUUUAUUUAAUCAAAAUCUAUUAUAUCCAAAUAUUAUACUAUUCUUUAUAUAGAACCAUCCUUCAUGGAUAUUAUAUCAUCUAGGAUAAACUCAUGAUUUGAAUAUUAUUCUACUAUAUCACUCUUCUGGAAUGUAAUCAAGUGUUUAAACACACAACAUUGAUUUUAUAGACCUCGCUCAAUAUUAUAUUUAUGAAAAAUAUGAUCAAUAUCCAUUAGAAAUUUCACAAAAAUUAAACACAACGUCAAUGUGUGAUGAUAAAAGAAUUUUAUUAUAUAGAGACAACUUCUAGUUGUUAUUACGUGCAACUUCUGGGUGCAAUUAUAUACAAUCAAUCUAUUAAAAACAACGUCAAAUAGGUGUUGUCGAUAAUACCAACAUCAUGUAGCUCAAGUGAGAUAAAAAAAAAAAAAUCACUUUUACAAAUGUUAAGUUUUAAAUCAAUUUUAAAUUUAAAGACAUGGAGUGAUAUUAACAUUCUAUCAACAUCAAGAAUAUCACAUAGAGAUCACAUAAUAUCACUUAUUUGAAGCAUGAAUAUGUAAUAUAUUUAAUAUGUGAGCAAGACAUAAUGUGUGCCCAUAAGCCAUCUCUUCCAAACCAUAAUAUAUAAAGUUUUGACUAUCUCAAAAUUUGGGAUGUCCUCUAAGAAGAAAGAUUAAAUAUGGACAAGUAAGGAUCCGUGUAUCAUAUAUUAAUCCGAGAUACAUAGACAAAGACUAGAGGUAAGGUCAUACAUAAUGUACAUAGAUAAGAAUGAUAUAGAAUUUUUAUCUCUCUCAUAGAAAAAUUAGCCAAGUCAUUAAUAAAGCUUACUAUCAAUUUAAACUCAUAUGAAAUAGAUAAUGACUUGAGAAAAAUCAAUUUUAGGAUAAAGUGGAGCACAUAUGACUCAUGACCUUUUAAAGAUUAAGACGACUUACUAUAUAUUAAUCAUGUACAAUUUAUGGAUUAGAGAGACAUUAAUAAAUUAUGAUUUCUUUUUUAUGGAUUCAUAAUAAAUUGAUCACAUGUACACAAAUAUAAAUUUUUCAUAUAUCCUAUUUGUCAAAUUAAAAAUAAUGUAGUGUACGAGAAAGAGAACGCAAGUGAGAAUCAUCACAUGAAUUCUACACAUAUUUUGAGAGUGACAUAAUAUAUAAAUCUAUAGUAAUCCACCGAAGGUAAUCAUCAAAAUUAUAUAUAAUGAUCACUGAAAAUAUAAUAUGGCAGAAAAAAUAGCAACAUGGUUUUCAUUAGUAAAAAAAAACAAGUAUCUCACACAUAUUCAGAUUCCAAGAGAGCCGAGAACAGAGAUCCAAAAUAUUUCAUCCAAUUCCAAAAGGGUCCAAAAUAGUUUAUUGAAAUCCAAAGAAUUAUUCAAAUCCAAAAGAGUCAAAAUAAUUUACUCAAAUCCAAAAAUAUCCAAAUAAUGUGUUUAAAUCCAUAAGAGACUAAAGCAUAUCCAUAUCAGUCUAUACUAACUCCAAAAACUAUAAACAUCCACAUUCGAUUCGAUUUAUGGUUCCAUUUCAUUUGGACAAGACAUAAUAUAUCUAAAUUUCAAUAUUUUUCAUUACUUUUAUUUUCUCAAAAUUUUCAUGUAUAUAAUCUCUUCCAGAGAUCCUUCAAUGUCAUGUCUAUAAUCUCUUCCGGAGAUCCUUCAUUUCUCAAUCUAGCCAUCAUCAAUUAUUGCUCCUUUUCAUUUUUUUUUUGUAUAAGAUAUGGAACCAACUUGCCUAUCACGCUUCAGGCGUUCUUUAGACAUAGUAGUAUCUUGAGGUUGUCCUUCUGCGACAUUUAAAUCAUAGGAGCAUAUGUAGCCGGUGUCCAUGACAUAUAUUUUCUGGUCAUCAAAAUGAAUUAUCUUAUGAACUUCUGGUUCAUAUUCUUUGUUUUGAGGAUCAAGAUGAGGCAAUGAUAACUCAUUCUCAUAUUUCUACUUUCACCGGCUAUUUAUUUUCUCCCCCUGAUUUUGGGAAAACAAACUCAUUAUAUCAAGUCACAACAAAUACAUAUUGAUGAUUCCAAAUGCACUCAUAUGUAAUAUAUAUCCAAUUGAGGAAUCGAUCUUACUAAUGUGGUGGAAAAUCUGUGAUGACCAAAAAAUUUAUUUAAAUGGGGAGAGAUUAUGAAAAUUUUGUUUAUAUGAUGAUGCGAAUCGAUAAAUAUGUGAUACAAAAUAAUCACUAAUUUGAGAUAAUACUCAUUAUGAGAUGCACCAGCAUUAUAAACAUAUAUUUUAAAUAAUGAAUCUCGCAUACGUCAGGCUGCGAGUUGAUAAUACUUUUGUAUACAACCAUAUAUUUCACAAAAUAUCUCACUGUUCAACAAUAUGAUAUUUUCAUCUCAUGCCAUAUCUUCAUUAAUUUAUUCUCAAAGAUGAUAAAUCACAAUUAUAUCUUUGCUGGUGAUCAAUUUUCCUUUAUAAGCAAAUAAUAUAUGUACCACUGAGAAGAAGAAUCUACAGGUUCUUCAACAAAAGUGCAUAUAAAAUUACUAUUCGCAUCUUUAACAAAUUAAGGUGGCUUAGCUAGUCAGGCCAAACUGUAAACUUAUAAGUAAACUUCUGGUUUACUUCAAAAUCAAUUUCAAUUAUGCUUAUUAUAAAUUAGUGGAGAAUCUUUAUCCAAAAUACUUUUAGUGUCAUGAAUUAGACUCACUAUUUAAAGGCCUUAAUAUCUCAAUGCGAUAAAUUAUAUAAAUUUUAUUCUUCAAUUUUCUUGGGAGAGAAUAAUUGCAUCAAUACUUUACAUGCUCUUCUGGAGUAAAAUGUACUUCUGAGAGUAGAUAAAAAUAUACAUGCUCUUCGAGAGCCUUAUGCAUGCUCUUCCGGAGCUUUAUACUUUCUCUUCCCGAAUCUUAUAUUUAGAAAAACUAUAAUGAGGCAUCCUAUAUAAUCCUCCCCUUUGGAUGACUCAUUUUAGAUAUGAAAUAUUGAUACUAGUCAUCUUUAUAUCAAUCAAGAGAAAUAUUCCUUAUACACAUAAUAAGAAUAUGACUUAGAGAAUUUGUAAUGUCAUGACCAUUGCUACUAUCAUGGUUGAUAUCCUCUGAUUUUCUAAUACUGUCACAUAAUGGUACGAUAUCAUUUGUUGCAAUUCAUAAUCAUUUCAUCAAUAAUUCAAAUUUAGUAAACCACAUUUAGUCACGAUAUCAACUCAUGCAUUUAACACCCCAAAUAUUUCAUCAAUUGCAUAAUAUUGUAUCUGCGGGACAUAAUAUAAUAUUUAUUUAAUCAAAAUCUAUUAUAUCCAAAUAUUAUACUAUUCUUUAUAUAGAACCAUCCUUCAGGGAUAUUAUAUCAUCUAGGAUAAACUCAUGAUUUGAAUAUUAUUCUACUAUAUCACUCUUCUGGAAUGUAAUCAAGUGUUUAAACACACAACAUUGAUUUUAUAGACCUCGCUCAAUAUUAUAUUUAUGAAAAAUAUGAUCAAUAUCCAUUAGAAAUUUCACUAAAAUUAAACACAACGUCAAUGUGUGAUGAUAAAAGAAUUUUAUUAUAUAGAGACAACUUCUAGUUGUUAUUACGUGCAACUUCUGGGUGUAAUUAUAUACAAUCAAUCUAUUAAAAACAACAUCAAAUAGGUGUUGUCGAUAAUACCAACAUCAUGUAGCUCAAGUGAAAAAAAAAAAAAUCACUUUUACAAAUGUUAAGUUUUAAAUCAAUUUUAAAUUUAAAGACAUGGAGUGAUAUUAACAUUCUAUCAACAUCAAGAAUAUCACAUAGAGAUCACAUAAUAUCACUUAUUUGAAGCAUGAAUAUGUAAUAUAUUUAAUAUGUGAGCAAG